AAUAAGUGCAGUUUAUGUUUGACUGUUCGUUUUAUUUAAAAUUUUUUUACGAUUAAUAUUUUUAUUGUUAUUAUAUGAUAAAACAUAAAUAGUACUUUAUGCAACUAAGUUUUUUUAAUUUUCUCAUAAAUUUUUCAAAUAAGACGGAUGGUCAAACGUUGAACACGGAUUCCCACGGCUGUACUUAUU
rfam:Oryza meridionalis cultivar OR44 (W2112) chromosome 11, whole genome shotgun sequence.